rnacentral:lncRNA from 1 species
GCCGUAGUCACGGAGCGUCCACGGGGGCCGUCGAGGGAGGCCGCCCUGUGGGGCGCAUGGGGGCGACAACGGCCACGCUCGCAGGCCAGCGGGGACCCCUAGACCCUCCUCGUGGACGCCAGCCCAUUUCCCCCCUGAAGGAGGAAGGACCCCACAGUCCCUGCGGGCCUCCGCCGUCGGCGACCUGCCCCCCAGGGCCACCCCUUCCUGGCCCGGAAUGUCCAGGGGUUACCUUCCCAAACCCUCCCCGGUGUCCUGACGCCCCUCCCCGCAGAGUCGCGGCCCGGACACGCAGCCCGGACACCAGUGGCCGAGGCCCCUCCGAGGGACAACCCCACACAGCACCCGGUGAGGCCGCAGGACCGCCGCCGGCCCCGCGCCCCCCGCCCUGAGCGAGGCGGCGAUGACAGGGCCCGGGGCUACAGGGACGACGGGGACACGGUGACCACGUGCGUACAGAAAUGCCACCGGUGUUUAUUCAGGAAAACGUCAGCUCACGACGUCCCCGUUAGAGAAACCCUCCAUAAAACUGGAAAUCUACACGUAUGUGCGUCUGUGCGGGCGGCGACCGCACCACACGAUCCAACCCGGACUGCAGAGCCCACGGAUCCGGCGCGACCCCGCGCUCCCCGAGCCCCGCGCGCGCAGAGCGGAGGGCGCGCCACAGACCCGGCGCACGCGCGGAGCGGAGUACGGAAGCGCCGCAGGACUCAGCCUCCCAGACCCCUGAGGCGGCGAAAAGGGGUUCUGCGCAGGCGCGGAGUACGGGAGUGCCGCAAAUCCAGAUCUUUCCAGCUUUGCCAUUGGGAGCCCUGUCAGAUGCCUGAUAUUUACUGCGUGAUGUCCUCGGGGCCACCCUGCUUCCCAACGUCCCCUGGGCAGGCGAGAUGUGGGGUUGGUGUCCCCGGGGAAGAGGGAGUCAUCGGAUCCUGGCCCCUGGAGGGCGUUAUUGCACAGAGCCAAAAUC